CCUACGGGAGGCAGCAGUGAGGAAUAUUGCGCAAUGGGGGAAACCCUGACGCAGCGACGCCGCGUGGAUGAUGAAGGCCCUUGGGUCGUAAAAUCCUGUCAGAUGGAAAGAAAUGCUAUAGGUUUAAUAUAUCUAUAGUUUGACGGUACCAUCAAAGGAAGCACCGGCUAACUCCGUGCCAGCAGCCGCGGUAAU
rnacentral:rRNA from 1 species